UAAACAUCUAAAUAAUUUAUUAUAUCGGAUUCCAAACCAAUACAUGAAUAAAAAAAAGGCUAAAUAAUUGAGAUAAAAUUAUAAAAUUAAAUUCUUAUCAUCAGACUAGUACAUCAAGUGCAUUAGAUAUCUCACAAUUUAUUUUAUAAAGAUGUAAUACAUCUAAUCCACACAUCAAGAAUAAACAUGUGCAGCAGGAAUGUUAGGGAUGGUGGUGGGGUUAUGCCUUUUACUUGGGCCUUCUGGGGAUUGUCUUAAAAUAUGUCCAAUAUUACCAUAUUGAAAUAAAUGAUGGUGACUUCGAGUAUGAUCUCCUAACCUUUCUCGUGUGUUGUAAUAAACCUUAUGAGCAAAAUCUAUUGAGCUUUGUCUUCCAAAUUGAUCUACUUUUUUGGGUAGAAUGAAAUCACCAUUUACUUCGAGAGUUGUUGAGUGAAAGCGAGUUGCAUUUGUUUUGGCAUUGUUAGUAAACAAUACUAAAAGAGCAACAUUGAUCAAGAGGGAGGAAAUAAUUUGGUUGAACUUUGUCAUUUCUAUUAUGUAAUUAGAUUACAGUCC
rnacentral:lncRNA from 1 species